rnacentral:lncRNA from 10 species
GGUGGCUGCCUUUGCUCACUAGGAGCAGAGAGCUCUCUUCUUCAGCAUCCUAGCCUUUCCUUAAAAUGAUUACGUUCGUUUUUUGUUAUUUCUAUAUUCGUCCCUUCAUUCAGUCUUGUAAUGAUGGUCUCAAGUAGUAAGAGUAGUAACUGCCGUAACGACAGUCUGAAUUACUAACAGUGGCAGUCAGCCACAAGUGGCACCUGAACAGGGACUAACAGGGACAGAGACCUGGAGGGACCUGAUAUGGACUUGGACGAAGAAGGUCUGCUUGAACAGAAAAGACUAAAACCAACUAGAAGAAUGAGAAAUGCCGCUACAAGUCUGCCGGCAGCAACAAGAGGGGAGAGGAUUGUCCUGGAACCAAUCCACCAUGGAUACCUAGGGAUGACCAUAUACACAAAUGCUAGAGCUUUGAGACACCUGCCAUAUGUUGUCUUUAGUAAUUGCUACAGCUCCCUUCUCUAUACAAGUUUUAUGCCAGAGCAUUGCUUCUAACAUCUAGCAAAGCCACCUAAACAUCUGCAAUCCUCUGGACUUUUCUGCCUUUGGAAACCUGAGAAACCAAAGGAUUGAGCCUUGGGCACCUCUAACCUUGAGUCUUCCUUUAUGAGUAGAAGAAUGUACGUGAAUCUCUCAUAUAAUCCCCUAAAGAAACUACCCUAAAUUGCUAAGGAAUCAGUUUUCAGUUCUUCUUUUAACUGUCAGAACGUUUAAUAUUUAAUUAUGUUGACAGGGCUAUAAAGCUAAAUUCUAAUGACACUGGUAGUGUUUCUCAUCUCAUUUCUGAUGCCAGCUAUAGUAUUUCUGGUACUUUAGAUAUUUACAUAAGAGGAAAACCUGUAGGCACAGUUGUAAAUUUAGAGUAAGUAUAACUAAUUAGCCAAGGAUACAAAAUCAUCUUGGAAAUAAUAUAGACCUAAAAAAACUACAGGACUUUUUAGUUUAACUUUCUUGGUUUCAAAGGUUUGUAAUAGCAGAAUGAGGGGAUAGCAGUGGGAGGGGACUCUAAUUUGCGAGUGACACUGUACAAAUGAAGUUGUGUCUUUUUGGAUUUCUGAAGCUCCAUUUGUAAAUGACACUACCCUUUUAUACUUAAAGUUUACAUCAUUCUACAAGAAUGAAAUGAAUUAUAUAUAAUAUCAAUUUCUAUUUUUCUGUAUAUAUUAUAUGAUUAAGGCAUUGUUUACAAAUAUAAGAUUUUCCUUUUUUUUUGCACAUAACGUGGAGUUAACAAUUUCAGAUCUUCAGCUGGUGGGAUAAAGCAGGAUCAAAAUGCAUGUGUCUGCUUCCUAAUUUUC